rnacentral:rRNA from 1 species
GAUCGGUAAUUACAUUUACAUCAUAGUAGGUACAGAAUUGUGAUCUCAGACAAUUUUUCUUCAUUUUUUUAUAUAUUUGUAAAAAAAAAACUAGAAAAAUUAUUUUGUAUACACUCGGGGGAUCGUGAAGAUUUUAUCGGUGAGUAUUUGCUCUCGGAAGGGCAAUGAUGAAUAUUGAAUAAUCAGACAUAGAGCGAUAAGGUUGUAUGUCUAAAGGGAAACAGCCCAGAACAAGUGUUUAAGGUUCCAAAAUUAUUGUUAAGUGAAAUAAAAGAUGUUUUUUAUCUAAUUCGACUAGUUAAUAGGCUUAGAAGCGGCCAUUUUUUGAAGAUCUCGUAACAGAGCACUGGUUUGAUAAUGUAAUAUAGUAAGUUCACUUACUUAUAAUAUUAUAAGUUAAAGCACUAAGGAUAUAACGGAUCUAAACAAUAUACCGACACCUUGUCCAUAUUUUUAAUAUUUUACAACAUAAUUAUUUAUAAAAAUUAUCAUAAAAACAUAUAUAAAAUAUUAUAUAUGGGGUAGCGACGUUGGAUAAAUCUAGAUUAAUGGUAAUUUUAAAUUAAUAGUAAGUUAUAAAAUAAAAAAGGUCAUAUGGAUACCCCAAGCGAUAAUGCUGACAUGAGUAACGAUAAGGUUCACACUCGCUAAGCUUAUGGAUUAUAUAAAGAACCGGCUCUAAGUUAUCCCUAAGGAUUAAUGCUGAGCCAAGCUUUAUUUUUUACACCUUAUUGUUUUUUUUAAAAGAUAGG